AGCAGCUCUGAGAGGAAGACAAGGAAAACAUCCAACCCGGACUCUCUCACGAGCUUGAGUGUGUGUUCUGGAGCUGAAGGAUGCACGGUUGUUAAGCCCCUGUUCUUUUCCGUUGUUUAAUCUAAAGUUCUUUGGAAUAAAAACCUCUCUGCCAAGUAGGACUUGGCUUUAUGCUUAACAUGCUUUGACUGUUGAAGAGGCCUUUGGCACACAUUGAAGGGAUGGUGAUGGAGAUGCCAAUCCAUGGAACCAGGUGGCACAGCUAUGUUGGUAGCUAUACCAGAGGCUUCUUGGCAAAGAUUCCUCCAGGGAAGGAAGGUACCAUCAGAGAACCAUGCAUGAAGACAGGGAAGAAAUGAUUGGAAUCAUGAAGCAUUAAACUGGAAGGAAGCCUUAGGCAAACCUAACUCAUGAGAAAACGGACACCCAAAUGUUACCAAGUUAGUACCAAAACCAAGGCUGGUAUUUGCAUAAAUAUGCUUUUCUAUCUAGUAUCAAGUCCUUCUUAGUAUUGUUAAUAGGCCUUAAGCUUGGUUUGUCUACAUAGAAAUCAAAAUGACAAUGCCAACCCAUUAAAAAAGUAAAAGAAGUCCCAAACAGUUCUGAUUUCCUCCAAUGUGACUAUUUCUGAUAUAUUAUAAAAUAACAAAAAUCAAAUUCAAAGAAUGAACUUUUUGCCCCUAUUUUGCUAAUAAUGGUUUAAGUAAAUGGAUGGUCUUUCUAAUCUUUCCCAAAGGCCCCUAGAUUAAUUGUUAGUGACAUUGCUAGGAAACUCCUAUGAAAUCUUGUAGGUCCAUGGAAACCAUGCAUCAGACUCUAACAUUUUGUGCAGAUCACAUGCUAUCAUGUGAAAAUGUUCUGUUCCAAAGUCCCCUGGAACUUGGGAUGCAUUUUUCCUAGAGAACAAUGUUCCAAGCAAAGGUCCAUUGGAUUCCCCAAGUGGCUGACUGCAACGAAUGUGCUCAGAAGCUGCUGAGGCUUAAACUUUCAGCCCUUCGAGAGGCAGCUCAAGAGACUGGGAAACUGGAAGAGGCUCUGCUAUAUCCUGUCCUGCUUUUGGGAGAUCUUGGCAGCCCUUGCGUAGAGAGAGGGAGGAGGAUUGGUGGGUGUGGGGGUUUGGUGGGGAAGCUAAGGUCCUCCUUUGGAAACAACGGAGGAAGGCUCCAUGUUAAAGGGGAAAGGAGGAGACAGGAAACCUCCAUUAAAUUGUUUAUAAGUUGAAUUGUUUCUAAAGCCGGAACUGACAACUGUGUUUUUACAAAGUAGAAAAGGAUGCAACAAGUUCCACAGUCCUCAUUCAGGCAUAUACAGUGCUUAAGAAGAUCAGAGUGCAGUUUUCUUUGGGCAGGUAGGUUUCAAAAAAAAAUUGAGUGUUGACACAGUGUAUAAAUUCUUCCAAUUUGAAAAUUAUUGAGGGUUAUUACUGAUGCCAUUUGAACAGUACCAUAACAUUCAUGGAUUGUGGAAUGGCUCAGAUCGCUGCCUAAGCAAGCAAUUAUUUUGUUUUUGCUUCUGCAGUUAGACAAGGAAGAAUGUUUUGCAUUCUAUCAGCUGGGCUUUUAUUGUUUUUCAUGUUAGAACAAAUGUUCUUUGAGAGGUGGGGUCUUGUUUGAGGAAAUGUCAAGUUGUCCAGUUUAGAUUUAUUGGUGAUUGUGGCAGGUGCUAAAUGUUUCAAGAAGUUGGUGUAUGCACUUUUUUCUUCUCCCCUGGCAGACUUUCCUGGAAUCAGGAUAUGUUCUCCGCAGGAAGAAAGCAAAUGUGCUAUACUUAAAAUUCAGUGUAUGACAGAAACACCUAAAGACUUAUAGUAGAUGAAUUUACAUCAUCUGAAAGGUAUUUUAUGCACCAAUUUCCAAAGUUAGGGAAGGCCACUAAGCAAGGGACUGCCACUUAAGACACAGGCAUUGUCUAUGGCGUCUGGGUGGGCCAAAGAGGCAAGAUUUGUGGGAAUAUCAUGAGAGUUGCUGGCUCUAAUAUAUUUGCUCUCCAAUGUCCAGAAAUUCCUGCCUUUGGAAUAGUCCUUGGAGAGACAGUUUUCUCCAACUUAGCCCCCCUUUCCCACUAUGCAUCCUCACGAGCAUGUCCAAUUCAAUGUGAACUUUUGGCAAGGAAUCCUUUGGAGGUUUAUGUUUUAUGUUAAAAAUUGGUAGGAACUUUGCGUCUUUCCCAUCAUAUAUUCAUGUUUUAUGUAACAUAAAAUUAUCACCCAUCUGCAAAUCUUUGAGUGGAAAUGAAACUUCAGGAGGAUGGACCAUAUCUCUUCCAUGGUCCUGGCCACUCUGCAGAAUACUCUCUUGUCUUUUCAGGAGCAGGGGGAUCCUACUUUGAGAAAUAAGGACUUCAGUCAUUGUUCAAUUGGUAGUUUGGUCAUUGUCCUUUGAAAAUGUACAAAUCCUCUCCUGGAACAGUAAUACAUGAGUUUAUUUUUACAUUAGAAGGAGGUACUUUAUCAAAGGAGUUCAUUGUCAUUUUGGAAAACAAUAUUCUGGGCUUGGAAAGAUUGUAAACUAGAAAAUCUUUGGUGAUGAAAAAGGGCAAGAUUUGAAAGUGUGGGAUACUGUGCCUAAAGGGUAACCUUACUUGGGGAUGUGGGGAAUCUGGGCUGAAGGGGGAGGAUUUGGGUGGGGCUGGAGGAGAAGCAGAUUCAGAGGAAAAGGAAGGAGGUGUAAGCCACAAGGUUUGCCCAAGGUUUUCUUAAUGGCUUUCCAUUCUCCCAAAUCUAUUUCCAAUCUCGGUUUCAGUCCUCAGCUCCAUCUCCAUCUCCUCUGUCCAAGUGGCAGCAUCUCCAGCUUGGAGAAUCAAGUUCACAUGUCCAAAAUGCCAACUCACCUGUGAGAAACUUUGCCUACUCCUUAUCAUGCAGCAUUUCUGUCUGCUCAUUCCUGUGUGGCUUCAUCCCUCACACUGCCAACUAUCUGUCUCCCUGUUCCAGCAAGAAACUGGGGAGUCUUUGUCUUUUCCUUCUUCCCAACCUCCCAUGCACAUGUUUAGUUGAUCAUGAAAUCUGACCAGGCUUAAUGUAACCUUUGAAACAUUCUUUUCUUCUCUGUAGAAAUUUCAGUUCCUGCAGGAAACUGAGCACGCAAAGGGCUGAAAGGUGGAGAGUUUAAUGAACAGUUGGCUUCCAGAGUAGGGAGGAGGAAGCUAAGUAACAGUGGCAAGGUUGGAUGCAGUGGCUGACAUCUGUAAUUCCAGUACUUUGGGAGGCCAAGGCGGCCAGAUCACCUGAGUUCAGGAGUUCAAGACCAGCCUGACCAACAUGGUGAAACCCUGUCUCUACUAAAAAUAUAAAAAUUAGCCCGUGUGGUGGUGGGCACCUGUAUUCCCAGCUACUCGGGAGGCUGAGGCAGGAGAAUCACUUGAACCCAGGAGGCAGAGGUUGCAGUGAGCCAAGAUCAAGCUGCUGCACUCCAGCCUGGGUGACAGAGUGAGACUCCAUCUCAAAACAAACAAACAAAAAAACAAAACAGUUGCAAAAGACCCAAAGGCAGCUGCAGGAUGCAUUUACCAUCCUUAGGAGAAUAAGGUGCAAGGGUCGGCAGUGGGAAUUCCUAAAAGUACCUAAUCUCUAAGCUUGGAGCUGUGGAAGAAGGGCCACCUGAUGGGAGCUAAAACAGGGGAUGCAGCCGCUGCCAGGACUCUGGAAAGGUAGGGGCAGUUAGGGACGAAAGCCAGGGAGACAAUCACCACCAUCAUUUGCUCUCCCUCUUCUCAUCCUCUGAUCUCCUGCCAGUGCUUCCAAUUGGCAAAGGCCAACCAAAAAUCACAGGGCAAAGGAGUUCGGUGCUGUAGGCCACAGAUGGGAGGCAGGCUCCUGAGGUACAAAGAGUGCAGAGAGGGGAGCAAAACGGAUCUGGUAGGGUAAGCAACAAAUGGAGAAUGGCCAGCCCAGAUUCAGCCCCUCCCUUCAACACCUGAAAAUUCGACCUGAAUUCAAGACCAUUAUUU
rnacentral:lncRNA from 1 species